UGACAAGGAAUCACCCCUCGUAUAUUUUCGUAAUUAUUCAUUUACACCCUGUAUAUUCUGUCAAAUUUUCUGACAUAACUAAAAUGAUUUUCCACCUGACUUCCAUUCAAAAAUACCCCCGUCGUUCCCAUAACAUACGCUUUGGUUCGACGCAAAUCUCUGAAAUUCCUGUAGUGUAACCAUUGUCCGAGGAUUGUGAACCGCCAAGCGACAAUACCCGAUGAACGGUUAGCCUGAAACCUAGACUGAAUUUCAAAAGCAACUUGUCAAGUGUCAGGAAAUGAAGGGAGAUGAAAUAUAACAGUGGGAGAGAGAAAGAGAGGAAAGUCUCCGAUCAAAGGCAGAUUUCAGGUUUCCAACAACGUCGGAGACUCCCAGCUUGUACGUGAAAGCAACGGGGAAUUUUCAGCGUCGGAAAAUUCAGAACUCCACCUUGCUCGGUCCAUAUUAUUCUGGGCAAGGAAAAAUAAUUACAACUCUGCCAUAGACCCACAGAAACUACACACAACUACAUCAGAAACCAGAGAAAUAAAAACUACCGGAUGUGGCCAUGAUUCUACUUCGCAACCGAUAUCACAGAUGAUGAAAGACCGUUUGAAGUAUGAACACCAUAGAAAACCCAGAAAAUCGGUUUACUUCGGAGAUAAA